UACGUAGGAUGCAAGCGUUGUCCGGAUUUAUUGGGCGUAAAGAGUUCGUAGGUGGUUCGUUAAGUCUGAUGUUAAAGACUGGGGCUCAACCCUGGAAGUGCAUUGGAUACUGGCGGACUUGAGUGUGGUAGAGGCAAUCGGAAUUCCAGGUGUAGCGGUGAAAUGCGUAGAUAUCUGGAAGAACACCGGUGGCGAAAGCGGAUUGCUGGGCCAUAACUGACACUGAGGAACGAAAGCUAGGGGAGCGAAUGGG
rnacentral:rRNA from 1 species